rnacentral:tRNA from 1 species
GGCUUCAUAGCUCAGGUAGUAGAGCAACAGACUGAAAAUCUGUGUGUGGGCGGUGCAAAUCCGUCUGAAGCCACCA